CGCCCUUUUAGUGAGGGUGUGUACUUGAUGAAUUCUGGCAUGAUUAUCUUCCCACUAAUAAUAUUAUUAUAUUAGGUUAAUUCCUAAUAUGGUAAUAAUUAUUUUUGGGAAGACACAGUAGUUACUUUGAGAAAAUUAGAGUGUUUGAAGCAGGCUUGUUGCCUUGAAUACUGCAGCAUGGAAUAACAAUAUAGGAUUUCGGUUCUAUUUUGUUGGUUUCUAGGACGAAAAAAGU
rnacentral:rRNA from 1 species